rnacentral:tRNA from 1 species
AAACCUGAUCAUUGAAGCCCCCUGCCCUCCGAAGGCAGAGGUCACAGGUUCGAAUCCUGUCGGGUGCGCCA